UCCCUGGUAGUAUAUCGGUUAGUACACGCGCCUGUCAUUGUAAAUAAUGCGCAACGUCUUCGCGCGAAAGCUGGGUUCGACUCCCAGCCAGGGAG